UACGUAGGGUGCGAGCGUGUCCGGAAUUAUUGGGCGUAAAGAGCUCGUAGGUGGUUUGUCGCGUUGUUCGUGAAAACCUGAGGCUUAACCUUGGGCGUGCGGGCGAUACGGGCAGACUGGAGUACUGCAGGGGAGACUGGAAUUCCUGGUGUAGCGGUGGAAUGCGCAGAUAUCAGGAGGAACACCGGUGGCGAAGGCGGGUCUCUGGGCCGAUACUGACGCUGAGGAGCGAAAGCGUGGGGAGCGAACAGG
rnacentral:rRNA from 1 species